UACGGGGGAGCAAGCGUUGUUCGGAUUUACUGGGCGUAAAGGGCGCGUAGGCGGUCAGCACAAGUCAGUUGUGAAAUCUCCGAGCUUAACUCGGAAAGGUCAACUGAUACUGUGCGACUAGAGUGCAGAAGGGGCAACUGGAAUUCUUGGUGUAGCGGUGAAAUGCGUAGAUAGUCAAGAGGAACACCUGCGGCGAAGGCGGGUUGCUGGGCUGACACUGACGCUGAAGCGCGAAGCCAGGGAGCGAACGGG
rnacentral:rRNA from 1 species